rnacentral:rRNA from 1 species
UGGCGGCGCGUUUUAAGCAUGCAAGUCGAGCGGCAAGCUAACUUCGGUUAGCCUAGAGCGGCGGACGGGUGAGUAACACGUGGAUAAUCUACCCUUUUGUCUGGGAUAGCCUGUGGAAACAUGGGGUAAUACCGGAUAAUAUUUCUUAAUCAUAAGGUUUAGAAAUGAAAGGCGCCUCAAAGCGCUGCAGAAGGAUGAGUCCCCGUCCCAUUAGCUAGACGGUAAGGUAAAAGCUUACCCGUGGCGAUGAUGGGUAACCCGCCCUGAGAGGGUGAUCGCCCACAUUGGAACUGAGACACGGUCCAGACUCCUACGGGGGGCAGCAGCUAAGAAUCUUCCNCAAUGGACGAAAGUCUGACGGAGCGACACCGCGUGAACGAUGAAGGCCGUGAGGUUGUAAAGUUCUUUUCGAGAGGAGGAAUAAUGUCUGCAGGGAAUGGUAGACAGAUGACGUUAAUCUCGGAAUAAGCCCCGGCUAACUACGU